rnacentral:rRNA from 1 species
GGGUUGUGAGGUUAAGCGACUAAGCGUACACGGUGGAUGCCCUGGCAGUCAGAGGCGAUGAAGGACGUGCUAAUCUGCGAAAAGCGCCGGCGAGGUGAUAUGAACCUUUGACCCGGCGAUGUCCGAAUGGGGAAACCCAGUGCAAUUCGUUGCACUAUCGUUAACUGAAUACAUAGGUUAACGAGGCGAACCGGGGGAACUGAAACAUCUAAGUACCCCGAGGAAAAGAAAUCAACCGAGAUUCCCCCAGUAGCGGCGAGCGAACGGGGAGCAGCCCAGAGUCUGAAUCAGCUUGUGUGUUAGUGGAAGCGUCUGGAAAGUCGCACGGUACAGGGUGACAGUCCCGUACACGAAAAUGCACAGGUUGUGAACUCGAAGAGUAGGGCGGGACACGUGGUAUCCUGUCUGAAUAUGGGGGGACCAUCCUCCAAGGCUAAAUACUCCUGACUGACCGAUAGUGAACCAGUACCGUGAGGGAAAGGCGAAAAGAACCCCGGCGAGGGGAGUGAAAUAGAACCUGAAACCGUGUACGUACAAGCAGUGGGAGCACCUUCGUGGUGUGACUGCGUACCUUUUGUAUAAUGGGUCAGCGACUUAUAUUCUGUAGCAAGGUUAACCGUAUAGGGGAGCCGAAGGGAAACCGAGUCUUAACUGGGCGUUAAGUUGCAGGGUAUAGACCCGAAACCCGGUGAUCUAGCCAUGGGCAGGUUGAAGGUUGGGUAACACUAACUGGAGGACCGAACCGACUAAUGUUGAAAAAUUAGCGGAUGACUUGUGGCUGGGGGUGAAAGGCCAAUCAAACCGGGAGAUAGCUGGUUCUCCCCGAAAGCUAUUUAGGUAGCGCCUCGUGAACUCAUCUUCGGGGGUAGAGCACUGUUUCGGCUAGGGGGCCAUCCCGGCUUACCAACCCGAUGCAAACUACGAAUACCGAAGAAUGUUAUCACGGGAGACACACGGCGGGUGCUAACGUCCGUCGUGAAGAGGGAAACAACCCAGACCGCCAGCUAAGGUCCCAAAGUCAUGGUUAAGUGGGAAACGAUGUGGGAAGGCACAGACAGCCAGGAUGUUGGCUUAGAAGCAGCCAUCAUUUAAAGAAAGCGUAAUAGCUCACUGGUCGAGUCGGCCUGCGCGGAAGAUGUAACGGGGCUAAACCAUGCACCGAAGCUGCGGCAGCGACACUAUGUGUUGUUGGGUAGGGGAGCGUUCUGUAAGCCGUUGAAGGUGUGCUGUGAGGCAUGCUGGAGGUAUCAGAAGUGCGAAUGCUGACAUAAGUAACGAUAAAGCGGGUGAAAAGCCCGCUCGCCGGAAGACCAAGGGUUCCUGUCCAACGUUAAUCGGGGCAGGGUGAGUCGACCCCUAAGGCGAGGCCGAAAGGCGUAGUCGAUGGGAAACAGGUUAAUAUUCCUGUACUUGGUGUUACUGCGAAGGGGGGACGGAGAAGGCUAUGUUAGCCGGGCGACGGUUGUCCCGGUUUAAGCAUGUAGGCGGAACGAUUAGGUAAAUCCGGUCGUUUUUUAACGCUGAGGUGUGAUGACGAGGCACUACGGUGCUGAAGUAACAAAUGCCCUGCUUCCAGGAAAAGCCUCUAAGCAUCAGGUAACAUCAAAUCGUACCCCAAACCGACACAGGUGGUCAGGUAGAGAAUACCAAGGCGCUUGAGAGAACUCGGGUGAAGGAACUAGGCAAAAUGGUGCCGUAACUUCGGGAGAAGGCACGCUGAUAUGUAGGUGAAGCCCCUGCGGGUGGAGCUGAAAUCAGUCGAAGAUACCAGCUGGCUGCAACUGUUUAUUAAAAACACAGCACUGUGCAAACACGAAAGUGGACGUAUACGGUGUGACGCCUGCCCGGUGCCGGAAGGUUAAUUGAUGGGGUUAGCGGCAACGCGAAGCUCUUGAUCGAAGCCCCGGUAAACGGCGGCCGUAACUAUAACGGUCCUAAGGUAGCGAAAUUCCUUGUCGGGUAAGUUCCGACCUGCACGAAUGGCGUAAUGAUGGCCAGGCUGUCUCCACCCGAGACUCAGUGAAAUUGAACUCGCUGUGAAGAUGCAGUGUACCCGCGGCAAGACGGAAAGACCCCGUGAACCUUUACUAUAGCUUGACACUGAACACUGGUCCUUGAUGUGUAGGAUAGGUGGGAGGCUUUGAAGUGUGGACGCCAGUCUGCAUGGAGCCGUCCUUGAAAUACCACCCUUUAAUGGCUGGUGUUCUAACGUAGACCCGUAAUCCGGGUUGCGGACAGUGUCUGGUGGGUAGUUUGACUGGGGCGGUCUCCUCCCAAAGAGUAACGGAGGAGCACGAAGGUUAGCUAAUCCUGGUCGGACAUCAGGAGGUUAGUGCAAUGGCAUAAGCUAGCUUGACUGCGAGAGUGACGGCUCGAGCAGGUGCGAAAGCAGGUCAUAGUGAUCCGGUGGUUCUGAAUGGAAGGGCCAUCGCUCAACGGAUAAAAGGUACUCCGGGGAUAACAGGCUGAUACCGCCCAAGAGUUCAUAUCGACGGCGGUGUUUGGCACCUCGAUGUCGGCUCAUCACAUCCUGGGGCUGAAGUAGGUCCCAAGGGUAUGGCUGUUCGCCAUUUAAAGUGGUACGCGAGCUGGGUUUAGAACGUCGUGAGACAGUUCGGUCCCUAUCUGCCGUGGGCGCUGGAGAAUUGAGGGGGGCUGCUCCUAGUACGAGAGGACCGGAGUGGACGCAUCACUGGUGUUCGGGUUGUCAUGCCAAUGGCACUGCCCGGUAGCUAAAUGCGGAAAAGAUAAGUGCUGAAAGCAUCUAAGCACGAAACUUGCCCCGAGAUGAGUUCUCCCUGAGACUUUAAGUCUCCUGAAGGAACGUUGAAGACGACGACGUUGAUAGGUCGGGUGUGUAAGCGCAGCGAUGCGUUGAGCUAACCGAUACUAAUGAACCGUGAGGCUUAACCUUACAACGCCGAAG